rnacentral:rRNA from 1 species
ACGUUAGCGGCGGACGGGUGAGUAACACGUGGGUAACCUACCUAUAAGACUGGGAUAACUUCGGGAAACCGGAGCUAAUACCGGAUAAUAUUUCGAACCGCAUGGUUCGAUAGUGAAAGAUGGUUUUGCUAUCACUUAUAGAUGGACCCGCGCCGUAUUAGCUAGUUGGUAAGGUAACGGCUUACCAAAGGCUACGAUACGUAGCCGACCUGAGAGGGUGAUCGGCCACACUGGAACUGAGACACGGUCCAGACUCCUACGGGAGGCAGCAGAG